GACGAACGCUGGCGGCGUGCCUAAUACAUGCAAGUAGAACGCUGAAGGAGGAGCUUGCUCUUCUGGAUGAGUUGCGAACGGGUGAGUAACGCGUAGGUAACCUGCCUGGUAGCGGGGGAUAACUAUUGGAAACGAUAGCUAAUACCGCAUAACAGUAGAUGUUGCAUGACAUUUGCUUAAAAGGUACAAUUGCAUCACUACCAGAUGGACCUGCGUUGUAUUAGCUAGUUGGUGGGGUAACGGCUCACCAAGGCGACGAUACAUAGCCGACCUGAGAGGGUGAUCGGCCACACUGGGACUGAGACACGGCCCAGACUCCUACGGGAGGCAGCAGUAGGGAAUCUUCGGCAAUGGACGGAAGUCUGACCGAGCAACGCCGCGUGAGUGAAGAAGGUUUUCGGAUCGUAAAGCUCUGUUGUAAGAGAAGAACGAGUGUGAGAGUGGAAAGUUCACACUGUGACGGUAUCUUACCAGAAAGGGACGGCUAACUACGUG
rnacentral:rRNA from 1 species